rnacentral:rRNA from 1 species
UGAGGAAUAUUGGACAAUGGAUGGAAAUCUGAUCCAGCCAUGCCGCGUGCAGGAAGACGGCCCUAUGGGUUGUAAACUGCUUUUAUACGGGAGCAAUAAGGUCUACGUGUAGACUGAUGAGAGUACCGUAUGAAUAAGCAUCGGCUAACUCAAUGCCAGCAGCCGCGGUAAU